rnacentral:rRNA from 1 species
UACAGAGGUCUCAAGCGUUGUUCGGAAUCACUGGGCGUAAAGGGUGUGUAGGCUGCGUGUUAAGUCAGAUGUGAAAUCCCGGGGCUCAACCUCGGAACUGCAUCCGAUACUGGCAUGCUAGAGAAUUGGAGAGGAGUCUAGAAUUCACGGUGUAGCAGUGAAAUGCGUAGAUAUCGUGAGGAAUACCAAGUGCGAAGGCAGGACUCUGGACAUUUUUCUGACGCUGAGACACGAAGGCUAGGGGAGCAAACGGG